GAUGAACGCUGGCGGCGUGCCUAAUACAUGCAAGUCGAGCGAACAGAUGAGGAGCUUGCUCCUCUGACGUUAGCGGCGGACGGGUGAGUAACACGUGGAUAACCUACCUAUAAGACUGGGAUAACUUCGGGAAACCGGAGCUAAUACCGGAUAAUAUAUUGAACCGCAUGGUUCAAUAGUGAAAGACGGUUUUGCUGUCACUUAUAGAUGGAUCCGCGCCGCAUUAGCUAGUUGGUAAGGUAACGGCUUACCAAGGCAACGAUGCGUAGCCGACCUGAGAGGGGGAUCGGCCACACUGGAACUGAGACACGGCCCAGACUCCUACGGGAGGCAGCAGUAGGGAAUCUUCCGCAAUGGGCGAAAGCCUGACGGAGCAACGCCGCGUGAGUGAUGAAGGUCUUCGGAUCGUAAAACUCUGUUAUUAGGGAAGAACAAAUGUGUAAGUAACUAUGCACGUCUUGACGGUACCUAAUCAGAAAGCCACGGCUAACUACGUG
rnacentral:rRNA from 1 species